rnacentral:rRNA from 1 species
UGAGGAAUAUUGGUCAAUGGGCGAGAGCCUGAACCAGCCAAAUCGCGUGAAGGAAGACUGCCUUAUGGGUUGUAAACUUCUUUUAUACAGGAAUAAAAAAGGGGACGUGUCCCUUAUUGCAUGUACUGUAUGAAUAAGCAUCGGCUAACUCCGUGCCAGCAGCCGCGGUAAUACGGAGGAUGCGAGCGUUAUCCGGAUUUAUUGGGUUUAAAGGGUGCGCAGGCGGGCUUUUAAGUCAGCGGUGAAAUCUCGGGGCUUAACUCCGAAACUGCCGUUGAAACUGGGAGUCUUGAGUAUGGAUGAAGUAGGCGGAAUUCGUUGUGUAGCGGUGACAUGCUUAGAUAUAACGAGGAACUCCGAUUGCGUAGGCAGCUUACUAAGCCAUAACUGACGCUCAAGCACGAAAGCGUGGGGAUCAAAACAGGAUUAGAUACCCUGGUAGUCCACGCCGUAAACGAUGAUUACUAGUUGUAUGCGAUAUACCGUAUGUGACUAAGCG